UCCAACGUAUCGACAAUAAAGGUGAACAAUAUAGGUUUCUACGCAAUGUAAAAUGUAAAAACAAAACGAAAAUAUCUAUCUUCUUCAAGGAAAACGUUAUCUUUGCAAAUAUUGGGCAUCUACGUGGUUUUACAUGCUGAGCAUCUGAUCACUUAAAAUUGGCAAAGAUAAGUUGUUCGUUCGUCGUUCCUCGUCUGUCUUUAAAAGGAUGUCUAGCAAGGAUUCUUGAAAACCGCGAGUGUUACUUUGUCCGUAGCUACGUUUUAAAGACUGCUAACUGGUAUUUUAUACAAUUCUAGCAAUAGCCACAACAAAUUAAAAAUCAUAAAUUGCCAUAUUCUUUGCAAAUAUAAAUUGAUUUAUAAGUUUGAAA